rnacentral:rRNA from 1 species
AGAGUUUGAUCCUGGCUCAGGAUGAACGCUGGCGGCGUGCUUAACACAUGCAAGUCGAACGGAGUUAUUUGAAUGAAGUUUUCGGAUGGAUUUUGAGUAACUUAGUGGCGGACGGGUGAGUAACGCGUGGGUAACCUGCCUCACACUAGGGGAUAACACUUAGAAAUAGGUGCUAAUACCGCAUAAGCGCACAGCUUCGCAUGAAGCGGUGUGAAAAACUUAAGGUGGUGUGAGAUGGACCCGCGUCUGAUUAGGUAGUUGGUGAGGUAACGGCUCACCAAGCCAACGAUCAGUAGCCGGCCUGAGAGGGUGGACGGCCACAUUGGGACUGAGACACGGCCCAGACUCCUACGGGAGGCAGCAGUGGGGGAUAUUGCACAAUGGGGGAAACCCUGAUGCAGCGACGCCGCGUGGAGGAAGAAGGUUUUCGGAUUGUAAACUCCUGUCGUUAGGGACGAUAAUGACGGUACCUAACAAGAAAGCACCGGCUAACUACGUGCCAGCAGCCGCGGUAAAACGUAGGGUGCAAGCGUUGUCCGGAAUUACUGGGUGUAAAGGGAGCGCAGGCGGACCGGCAAGUUGGAAGUGAAAUCUAUGGGCUCAACCCAUAAAUUGCUUUCAAAACUGCUGGCCUUGAGUAGUGCAGAGGUAGGUGGAAUUCCCGGUGUAGCGGUGGAAUGCGUAGAUAUCGGGAGGAACACCAGUGGCGAAGGCGACCUACUGGGCACCAACUGACGCUGAGGCUCGAAAGCAUGGGUAGCAAACAGGAUUAGAUACCCUGGUAGUCCAUGCCGUAAACGAUGAUUACUAGGUGUUUGGAGGAUUGACCCCUUCAGUGCCGCAGUUAACACAAUAAGUAAUCCACCUGGGGAGUACGACCGCAAGGUUGAGACUCAAAGGAAUUGACGGGGGCCCGCACAAGCAGUGGAGUAUGUGGUUUAAUUCGAAGCAACGCGAAGAACCUUACCAGGUCUUGACAUCCGAUGCAUAGCAUAGAGAUAUGUGAAGUCCUUCGGGACAUCGAGACAGGUGGUGUAUGGUUGUCGUCAGCUCGUGUCGUGAGAUGUUGGGUUAAGUCCCGCAACGAGCGCAACCCCUAUCCUAUGUUACCAGCGGGUAAUGCCGGGGACUCAUAGGAGACUGCCAAGGACAACUUGGAGGAAGGCGGGGAUGACGUCAAGUCAUCAUGCCCCUUAUGUCUUGGGCUACACACGUACUACAAUGGUCGGCAACAGAGGGAAGCGAAGCCGUGAGGCAGAGCAAACCCCAGAAACCCGAUCUCAGUUCGGAUUGCAGGCUGCAACUCGCCUGCAUGAAGUCGGAAUCGCUAGUAAUCGCAGGUCAGCAUACUGCGGUGAAUACGUUCCCGGGCCUUGUACACACCGCCCGUCA